rnacentral:rRNA from 1 species
UGAGGAAUAUUGGUCAAUGGGCGCAGGCCUGAACCAGCCAAGUAGCGUGAAGGAUGACUGCCCUAUGGGUUGUAAACUUCUUUUAUAAAGGAAUAAAGUCGGGUAUGUAUACCCGUUUGCAUGUACUUUAUGAAUAAGGAUCGGCUAACUCCGUGCCAGCAUCCGCGGUAAUACGGAGGAUCCGAGCGUUAUCCGGAUUUAUUGGGUUUAAAGGGAGCGUAGAUGGAUGUUUAAGUCAGUUGUGAAAGUUUGCGGCUCAACCGUAAAAUUGCAGUUGAUACUGGAUAUCUUGAGUGCAGUUGAGGCAGGCGGAAUUCGUGGUGUAGCGGUGAAAUGCUUAGAUAUCACGAAGAACUCCGAUUGCGAAGGCAGCCUGCUAAGCUGCAACUGACAUUGAGGCUCGAAAGUGUGGGUAUCAAACA